AAUCAGGUCCCUUGCCCUGAUUCUUCAUCUGAGAAACAGUGAGGGGACUCUCCCCUUCCCUCCUACAGGAGCGCUGUGAUACUAGCCCCUAUCCCAUGGAAACUGGCUGAGCACCUGCUUUGCCACACACUCUGGAGUCCAAGCAGGAGGCCUACGCCUGUCUGCUCAGGAUGUGAUCACCGUCCUACUAGAAAGAGAUGAAGGGCUACAGGUGCCAGGAAGGCUGGGUGGAUUUGCACUGGAAAAUCGGAAUGCUGUUCAGGAGAGCCAAGGCCCGACCCAGAAAUAUGAAGUGGCUUGUGCAGAUCCAGAAACCUGCCUGAAGGUCUGUAGCAACCCCUCUGGCUGCUCUGACAUCGCGUAUCCCAAACUGGUGCUGGAACUCCUGCCCACAGGGCUCCGUGGGCUCAUGAUGGCUGUGAUGGUGGCGGCGCUCAUGUCCUCCCUCACCUCCAUCUUUAAUAGUGCCAGCACCAUCUUCACCAUGGACCUCUGGAACUACAUGCGGCCUCGGGCGUCAGAGAAGGAGCUCAUGAUUGUUGGCAGGUAAGGUACUGAGUGGAACUGGGGAGGGAGAGUGAAAAGUUUAGAUACCCAGGGAGGAGAAAGCUGAGCCCAUCCAGAGAUAAAGCCCGGCCAGCCACUCAUCGUGGAGGCUCAGCCUCCUUUGAUGGCAAAGGUGAGAUUCAUUAGGACUCUGUGUACAAAUAAAUCACUCAUCGAAGAGAUGUUCACUGAGCACCUACUAUGUGCCCCGUGGCCGGAGAGAGAGCAGGGAAAAGCAGAGAUUCAGUAUCUGCUUUCACAAAGCUAAAGAGAAGAUAAUUAAAGAGAGAGGAUAAUUAAAAAGAA